UAGAAGUCAGUAAGUAGGACAAAGGUUAAGCUUUGCUUAGAGUGCUUAACAGGCUCAUGAAUACUAACUUCUCCAUCUCCAGGAGGGGCUAAGAUGCCAUUUUCUGAACAUGAGAUGUACGUAGAAGAAGAAAAGACAUGUCAAGGAGUAGAUGUGUAAUAGGCGUGCCAGAAAGUUGUACACUCUGGAGUACUCAGCCAGUGAGGAAACAGAGGAGGGACUUUGGGGCUGGGAUUAGAGAUAAUAGUGAACUCCUGCUUUGGUACAGUGUGUCCUAGUCCAUAAGACACCCAAAGUUGCAACUGCAUAAUAAACUGGGCUUUUAACUUCAUCACUCCUGAGUCUGAAAGUUAUUUCUCAUAAUUCCUUGGGAGCUCCUCUAGAAUACCAAGCACUGAGAUGGAGAAGCGAUCAUCACCAAAGAGCAGGAAGCUAAUUUUUUAUCAUACCUGUUGAUUUUUAACGGCCUCAUGGACUGAGGGUGAGCACCCUUUCCAUCCAACUGCAGUGACCCGAGACUGAUUGAAAAGGAAGCGUGAACAAAAAAGUGGAAAAUAGGCACAAAGGACCAUGACCACUGCAUAAGCUUAUAUAUGGGGCAAGAUUUGAGGAAGAAAGGACUUUUGGCUCAGACUGGAAUUCUGGAAUUCCAUUGGAAUUUGCGAUGCAUAAGUACAAACCAGGGGACUGGGGACUGCUCAAAUCCUAGAAGGAGACCAAACUUCAGCCUGACUGGAAAGGACCCUACCAAAUGUUGCUGACCACAGAAACAGCAAUCUGGACAGUCGAAAAAGGGUGGACAUAUUAUAUCAGAGUCAAAGGACCAGUGGACAAACCUCAGGAAUAGACUGUUUAAAGUUGCCCUGAUCUGGGAGGGAAGAGGUUCUCAAAAGACCUUGGAUUGAUCAUUCUUGUGCUACAAUAUUGUUUCUUAUACUUGUAGUAAUAUUCUUGGUGGCCAUUUACGAGAAACCUAGAGAAGGGAAUCCUUUACUGAAGGAGCUACUUAGCGAUAAUAAGUGUAGGGCUCUUGUGUGUGUAGUAUUAGGAAUCAUAAGAACAGCUAUAUUCCCUGAGAGAAUUAUGGCAGAAGCACAGCAAAUGCUUCCACUGUCAUACUUAGUGAGAGCAGUCCCAUUCCUCUUUCAUUGCUCCUAAUGCCCUUUUACAACUAGCCAAAAUAGUGGUUAACACUUUCAACCUGAGUGGUUGUUGGGUCUGUGGAGGUCCUGAAACAUCGGAAUUGUGGCUGUGGUACCCAGAACCUUUGAGUCUGGCCGGGAUAUUCAGUAACCAGUCAGAGGUAAGGAAUGGCACUGGUUUCUGGGACCAAGAAGAAAAACACAUAGUUGGCCCUUGGCUGGAAGUGUUCUAGGACAAUAUUGCCCGAACCAAACAGAAGCAGGUGAGAACCUGGGGAGAGGACUAUAGAAGAGAAAGUGGUUGCCUCAUUAAUUGUACAUGGAAAGGGAAACAGCAAUUAUGGUGGUGUAAUUCAACAUUUAUGGAAGAAGGACUCUUUUGAUCAGAAGAAAAGCAAUAUUACCCCACAGUGCGAGGGAGACCCAGGUUGUUUAGUGAAGAAAGUCCUGCAUUAAAGGGGCAUUAUUGGAUUUGUGGACUAACUGCUUACACCCACCUAUCAUUUAAUUGGACAGGAGUAUGUUAUAUAGGAUUAGUAAGAUCAGGCUUUUUCUUUUCAGAAGGACCAAAGGGGUAUGACAUUGGGAUCCCAUUAUAUGAUGGUUUCCAAAGACAGAAAAAGAACCUUAGACACCAGUAUUACCCAAUCAGGAGGUGCCAAUGGCUGGGGUAAUGAAGGGCCACCUGAAAGAAUAAUUCAAAUCUAUGGGCCAGCAACUUGGGCCCAAGAUGGGAGCUAAGGAUACAGAACUGCCAUCUAUCUCCUUAAUAGAUUAAUUAGACUCCAGGUAGACCAACCUGCACAAGCUUUAGAACUUCUUGCUGAUCAAGCCAUCCAGCCACAGGCAACUGUGUAUCAACAUAGAGUAGUAUUAGAUUAUGUUCUAGCAGAAGAAGGGGUUUAUGGAAAACUAAGUAAGUAAUUGCUGUCUACAAAUUGAUGAUAAUGGGCAAAUAGUUAGAAAUCUGGCUACAAAAAUUUGUAAAGUAGUACAUGUGCCAGUCAAAAGGGGAAAGUAUGGUUUGACUAAAACUGGUUUAAUUGGCUGACAGGGUCAUGGUGGAAGCAACUUGAAAUGAUAAUUCUGUUAAAAUCAGGCGGAUUAUUAUUUAUACCCUGCUCGAUUCCUUCCCUGAUAAAGCUUAUUUCACAUUUGGUAGAAGGGAUGUGAAUUGUUACGCUGCCAAAAAAGACAAAGCAAGGUGUCUCAAUUAUGGUAGUAAAAAGAAAACAUAGUCCUAGAGAAGAAAAGGAGGAGCAAGAAUGUUUAAAACUUCUUGAAAAGGGCUAAAAAGGAAAAUAAGAAAUUAUGGAAACAAAACCCAUAUUGAAACAGAAAGUGAGAAAUUGAGAGAUACAAUGAAAAUGUUUGUUUCCAUAAAUUUGGAGAAAACAGCUAGAAAAAUAACUAAGUAAAACAGGAUAAGGCUGGUCUUGUUUUGCUGUUAGAAGUCAGUAAAUAGGACAAAGGUUAAGCUUUGCUUAGAGUGCUUAUGCUUAAUAGGCUCAUGAAUACUAAGUUUACUAUCUUCUCCAUCUCCAGGAGGGGCUAAGACCCCAUUUUCUGAACAUGCAAUGUAUGUUGAAGGAGAGAAGAUAUGUCAAGGAGUAGAUGUGUAAUAGGCAUGCCAGAAAGUUGUACACUCUGGAGUACUCAGCCAGCGAGGAAACAGAGGAGGGACUUUGGGGCCAGGAUUAGAGAUAAAUAGUGAACUCUUACUUUGGUAUAAUGUGUCCUAGUGCAUAGGACACCCGAAGUUGCAACUGCAUAAUAAACUGGCUUUUAACUUCA